rnacentral:rRNA from 1 species
CAAUAGCGUAUAUUAAAGUUGUUGCAGUUAAAAAGCUCGUAGUUGGAUUUCUGGUCGGAAGCUCCUGUCCUCUGAUGAGCGUACAAGUGCGUCCUACCAUCCUUCUGUUAACCUUUAAGGCUUUCGCGGCUUUCUAGGGGCUCAGAUAUUUUACCUUGAGAAAAUUAGAGUAUUUCAGGCAGGCUAGCGCCGGAAUACAUUAGCAUGGAAUAAUGGAAUAGGACUUUUGCCUCUUCUGUUGGUCAUGAGGCUCGAGUAAUGAUUAAUAGGGAUAGUUGGGGGCAUUAGUACUUAACUGUCAGAGGUGAAAUUCUCGGAUUUGUUAAAGACUAACUUAUGCGAAAGCAUUUGCCAAGGAUGUUUUCAUUA